GCAUCGGUGGUUCAGUGGUUGAAUGCUCGCCUGCCACGCGGGCGGCCAGGGUUCGAUUCCCGGCCGAUGCA
rnacentral:tRNA from 1 species